rnacentral:rRNA from 1 species
AACGAACGCUGGCGGCAUGCCUAACACAUGCAAGUCGAACGAAGUCUUCGGACUUAGUGGCGCACGGGUGAGUAACGCGUGGGAACCUGCCCUUCGGUACGGAAUAACGUCGGGAAACUGACGCUAAUACCGUAUAUGUCUCUGGAUGAAAGAUUUAUCGCCGGAGGAGGGGCCUGCGUCUGAUUAGCUAGUUGGUGAGGUAAUGGCUCACCAAGGCGACGAUCAGUAGCUGGUCUGAGAGGAUGAUCAGCCACACUGGGACCGAGAAACGGCCCAGACUCCUACGGGAGGCAGCAGUGGGGAAUAUUGGACAAUGGGGGCAACCCUGAUCCAGCAAUGCCGCGUGAGUGAUGAAGGCCUUCGGGUUGUAAAGCUCUUUUGGCAGGGACGAUGAUGACGGUACCUGCAGAAUAAGCCCCGGCUAACUUCGUGCCAGCCGCCGCUGUAAAAC